GAUGAACGCUGGCGGCGUGCCUAAUACAUGCAAGUCGAGCGAACAGACGAGGAGCUUGCUCCUCUGACGUUAGCGGCGGACGGGUGAGUAACACGUGGAUAACCUACCUAUAAGACUGGGAUAACUUCGGGACACCGGAGCUAAUACCGGAUAAUAUAUUGAACCGCAUGGUUCAAUAGUGAAAGACGGUUUUGCUGUCACUUAUAGAUGGAUCCGCGCCGCAUUAGCUAGUUGGUAAGGUAACGGCUUACCAAGGCAACGAUGCGUAGCCGACCUGAGAGGGUGAUCGGCCACACUGGAACUGAGACACGGUCCAGACUCCUACGGGAGGCAGCAGUAGGGAAUCGUCCGCAAUGGGCGAAAGCCUGACGGAGCAACGCCGCGUGAGUGAUGAAGGUCUUCGGAUCGUAAAACUCUGUUAUUAGGGAAGAACAAAUGUGUAAGUAACUAUGCACGUCUUGACGGUACCUAAUCAGAAAGCCACGGCUAACUACGUG
rnacentral:rRNA from 1 species